rnacentral:miRNA from 1 species
GGUUGUGGGCGAGGAGGGAUU